GAAAAAUUUUGCCCCGGUGCUUCCCUCAUAACGGAGGGCGAAUUUAUCUUGAUGGAUGCUUUGUGCGAGCGGAGAGUUACACAUUCUACGACCAGUAUUUAGGUCCAGAGGAUAUGCAUAUAUGUGGAAACAGGACGAGAAAGGGUACAUUGUUCCAACAGAACGCUAGGCGAGCCAUUCAGCAAGCCGUUGUAAAUGCACCGACUAAUAAUGGCUAUGCACGUGCUCAAGUGUCAGGGCCAAGUCCUUCUAAUGCGACAGCUUAUGUUCUCGCUGAUUGCUGGAAGACGCUGAGCGCAAGCUCCUGUGCAGCGUGUUUGCAAAAUGCAUCUGAAUCCAUGUUGGGAUGCUUACCUUGGUCAGAAGGUAGAGCCUUUUACACCGGAUGCUUCAUGAGAUAUUCUGAUACAAAUUUUCUCAAUGCUACUUCUACCAGUAGUGGCUCGUCAUCAAGGGAUCACCACAUUGCAGGAAAAGUUGUAGUCAUUGUUGUUGUUAGCUCCGUUGUCGUUUUGGGAGUAGCUGUUUUUAUUGGUUUUGGUGUCUAGAAGAACAAACAAAUCCAGAAGAAGAGAAAAGGUAAAAUCUUGUAUCUUGUGAUUUACCCACAAGUAUACCGAAGACAACAUUCAGCGUUAUGGCCUACUCAUGCUUUUCCGAGGAAAUUUGAACUUAUUAGGUGCAGCUGAUGUUGAGAAAUUAGUGAAGACCCUUCAUAAAAACAACUUGAACUUCAAGUAUUCGACACUUGAAAAAGCCACGAGGUCAUUUGAGGAGGCCAACAAGCUCGGGCAAGGUGGAUUUGGCACGGUUUAUAAGGGUGUUUUGGCAGAUGGGAAAGAGAUCGCCGUCAAAAGGCUGUUCUUCAACAACAAACACAGAGCUGCAGAUUUCUGUAACGAGGUUAACAUAAUCAGUAGCAUCCAGCACAAAAAUUUGACACGGUUAUUGGGCUACAGCUGCUCAGGAACGGAAAGCCUACUUGUAUACGAGUUACUCCCUAACCAGAGUCUG
rnacentral:misc_RNA from 1 species